GCAGGCUACAGGAAAGUAAUACACUCCAGUCAAGCAACUCUCUGACUGAGGCACUAAGCAAUGUCGCCCAGCUCCACGAUGUUCGCAAAGGGUAUGAGCUUUGACAACCUUUCCUGCCAAUGCACCUGGUGAGAAGCUUCAGUCAAUUCUUAAAAAGAAACAAAGUCAUGUGGAUCUAAGACAUAGAAAGAGUGAGCCCUGACAAGAACGCUUAGACUUGGAAUUCUCGGGAAAAAAAUGCCCAGGAGUUCAUGACUUAGGCCAGGAUGAAAAAUCACUUUGGAGUCACAGAGAGUAGCCUGAUUUAGAAAGGUAGAGACAAUGGAACCAUGGAAUUACUUGGGAACCUUCCUGAAAAGGAUAUAGCACCUUGACUAAAUCACUGAGGAUUGCGUCCCUGAGAAAGAUAACAUGUUUCAAAGUGGCAAAUUUCCCCUAAGAAUUGGAAAAAUGGAUAAUACGGACUGGGGUUGGAGAGCCCGGGAUUCUGAUUAAACAUGGAAUCUGAGAACUGGCAGAAAGCCUGGAACUGAUGGAAGAGAGGGCUCUAGGGCCUCCAUACUAAAUGGUGAACUAGGAACUAUAAAAGAGAUAAUGUGGUGAAGAGCUUCAGCCAUCAAGUUAUUCUAAAAAUGAAGUAGGGCAUUUUAUAUGUGGAGAGAAGGGCACUGAUUAUUAUCUGACUAUUGCUAAUAUGUCCCAUAGAACUUAUUUGGAAUAAUUUUUUACUAUUAAUUUGAACAACAGCAGUGAGACUCUUUAUAUGUAUAAUAAAGCUAAUUUUACAUUUAAUAGAGAUGAUUUUAUUUUUUAAUGUUAGUAAAAUCAGAAUCUUAUUAAAUUGUAAAAGUGAAUAAAACUUUUAUAACUUUUGGAUUUUCUUUGUGGGUUCUAUUUGCUGUUUAAAAUGCUGUUGCUUCAAUCCCUUUAGAUUAGGUUCAAUUUUAUGGUGCUCACUUCUUUUCUUUUAGACAUAUCUCAAUUGUUUGAAAAAAUGUAGCAUUUUUAUGGCAAGCUGUUUAAUACAUCCAUUUUCACAUUAGCUCUCAUGGUUUUAACCAAAUGCUAGUGGUUUGUUAUUUUUCUUAUCAACAAGGAAUUGAGGAUGCUUGAUUUAAGAUAUAUAAUAGCUAUCAUUUUAUGAAGCGUUUACUGUAUGCCUGGUCCUGGGUUAUGCUCCACGUGCUAUCAUUUAAUCCUUAAAACAGCCCUGAGGCACUACUAUUAUUUCUAUUUUAUAUUAUAGAUGAGAAAACAGAGCCUUUGAAAUUUAAGUUAUUUGACUGAUGUCCCACAGCUAGUAAAUGGCACAGCUAUCAUUAAAACCCAAGUCUUACUGCCUCCAAAGCCACUCUCUUAUAGACUGCAACUUUAACCUGUUUCAUAAUUGAUUCUUAAGUUUCUAGUUCUAUGACCUUCACUGUGCCUAGCUAAGCCAUCACAGACCAUGUGCUAUUACUAUCCCUCAAACAUCUCAAACAUCAGCCAGCCUGUGGGCAUAUAUAUUUAAGCAAGUUGGAAACAGCCAAGUUGGGUACCCCUUAACAGGCAUGUUCCUCAUGCCUUAUUUGAGGUUGAUAAAUCACCAAUAUCUUUAUCAACUUAAAUGAUUGCAAUGUCCUCUCCAAAAGAGAUGACCUUACUAAGUGUCAUUUCUUGGUAAAUAAAGCUCUGCUGCUGUUGACUUUUGAUUCAUCAUCACACUGAUAUUUAGUGUCAGUGAGGAGUAUGCUGGACGGGGCCGCAGUCUUGAGCUCUUACAAAAGGAAACAGGUGGCUGGUCACUUUGGACAUAUUCCCUCUGGCAGAGGUAGGGAAACUGCAACUUGUACUUAGCAUUUUAAUUGAGGUUGGCGGUCGGCAGAACUAUUACACUUUUCUCUUUAAAACUCUUUUCAAAUGAGUAGAAACCAAAAUAGAAAAUAUUAUAACUUUUUCCUGUGUCAUGUACAUUUAACUUCUUCUGAUGAGGCUUCCCUUUUUUUACUCAAAAAUAGCAUUCCCAUGCUCUUGAGCUAAUAGUCAUCAAAACUAAUGCACACAGGUGUUUAGCAGAUCAGGGAGAGUAGAUGUUUUUGUUAACUUUUUAAACAACUUCCCCCCACAAUCACAAAGCUCUCCAAAUAGAAUCUGCUGACUUCAAUGGCAGGGUCAGUGUUACAGUGACUCAUUGCCAGAUAGAACAAACAAGCUCAACAAAGCCUGCUUCAAGAUGUAAAUGCUGUUUCCUUGCUGCUGGGAAAAGCUCUGUUUUUCACAAAAUAGAGCUAAAAAGUCUGUAUUUGGAUCCUGCUGAGUCUCAGAUAUCCCUGGGUCUCAAGAAAUCCCUACACCCUCUAACAACUGUUUCCCCACCAUUCCUCUCCCAACUCCUAGAGUGCACCAGAUGCAUUCAGUUCCUCAGUGAAAACGCUCCUGAACCUGAUCCAGUCCUGCUCUAACCCACGCCACUUCCCAGAAGCCAGCCUUGCCAAGGUCUCCAGUAACAUACUCACUGCCAAAACGCAAUGGCACUUCUCCAUCUUGAUGCUCCUUGACCUAUGUACAGAAUUUGACACGGCUGAUAACCAAUUAUACAACUCUCUCUUCUUGGCUUCUGAGCCUCUUUCCUCAUUUAGUCUCUGCCUCUCAUCUCAUGUGCUUUCGAGGCCCUUCCACCCCUCAUUCCAUUGGGCUUCCGCUUUCCAUGGGGCUACCCCCAUUGCCUUGCCACUUAGCUGUUUACUGCAUGGCUGCCUCACUGACUGCAGAGGCCAUGCUUCACUCAUGUUAGAACCCCAUUGCCUAGAGAGUGUUUGCAAAAUAGCAUGGACUCAAAAAAAAAGUUGAAUGAAUGCACAUAUCCCAUAGGUCAAUUUCUCUAUUCACCUCAGACCUGCACUUGCAUCUGGCUGUGAGACAAGUUGCAUGACCAACUCCUAUUACACAGAAAUUUUUCCUCUGUCUUUAACUUUUACCACCUCCAAAUUCUACAUGUCGGCAAAGAACACAUAAAUAAUGAAGCUCCCAAAUAAAACUCCUCAUGACGCUUGGUUGUUUUUCAAUUUCUAUUUACAGUUCCCAAUUAAAUCUGUUUUUUUCACUCAUGACAUUUUUUGAAUCUGACUUGCCUUCCUUUCAACACUUCGAUGGAUUUUUGCAAUAUUUGUGCAGAAUAAUUUUUUAAAGUACUCUGUGUUCAACUGGUAUUUUGUAUGGUAACUAUUUGUUCUGAUGUAUAGCAAAGAGUAGCCAAUUAAUAUUUGUUGAGUGAUAGCUGUACAAAAGAAUUUGUGUAUUAUUGCUUAAUUUGAUCAUUAAGGUGGUCCAACAAGUGAAUUUGUUGUUUCAUUGUCUGUUUAUUUUUUGUCAUUUUCAUGACCAAAUCAUACUAACUUGGAGGAUAUAAUUGGAAGUAAGGCAAUGUAUUAUUGCAAUGUAUUAUUUCAAUGUAACAUUACAAUUUGACUUGUUAAACUGUGAAUUUUGUCUUAUGAUGGUUUAUGUGUAAUCCUCAUUCCCUGUUUGGAUAUGAAUCUCCCUAGAAUCCCAAGUUACAGCAUUUAUUUCCUGUAAGUGUUCAGUUCUUCUGCCAAAGUUAUCUUUUUCACCUGUCAUUUUGUGUAUGCCAGAUUUUUUUGAGGCCAUAUAAUUUUUUUAAUUUGCCCUAUAAUUCAUAUGUUAGAUUCUCUCACUCAAUUGCAAAGUAUUCCAUUAUAAUAUUUUUAAUGCCAUACUAUAACCAUUUUCUCCCUUCUUCUUGAAUACCCUCUGAAUGAAUCACAGUCAUGUCUGCUGAUGUACAACAAUUCCAUUUAUGCUUACUCCCCUCUUCCUAUGGCUAUUUCACUUUACAUCUUCUCCCAUUGGAUGGAUGGAUAGAUAGAUAGAUGAUAGAUAGAUAGAUAGAUAGAUAGAUAGACAGAUAGAUAGAUAGAUUCACUUGUCAUAUAUAUUUAAGAAUUUUUCAAUAUAUUAUGUUAGCAUCGAGAACUUACUUCAUAAUAAGAGUUAAGGUAUUUUCUUUCUAUCCUCUCAUUAUAAGUAUAUAUCUUCCACAUUUGUAAUGGACCAAAAGUACUUAUAUUUGAACAUUAUUUUAUUUGUGGUUUACAACAUUUUCAUGCAUUUGUCUGUAUCAUUGUCAUUAGCCCCUUAUUUUAAGCUCCUAAAAAGAAUUAAUAAUUUGUUAAACAUAUCCUAAACAUUGUCUAGCACUGUACUAUGGGGAUAUAGGCAAUUAAAACAUUAUUUCUGAGCCUACUAACAAAUUGUCUAAAACUAUGUAUAUAUCUAAAACUAUGUAAGUAUCUGAAACUAUAAAAAUCCAUUCUUCCAUGUUUCACUGGCAUAUUUAUUCAACCUUGCUAGAGGGAGUAACAUAUAAAAAUGGACCCCUUUCAUUAUUCAACGGAUCUUGUUAGAUCAAUAGUAUUUCCCACUUAGUAAAAUGUGAUGUCUCAUGAUUUUUCAUAGCAAUCUGUAUAAUUGGAAGAGAUUCACUUGAUUAACAUAGAAGAGUGUAAGUCAUGUGAGACAUCAUAAUGAGAUACCCGAGAAAUCUCUGUUGAUAUUUCUAACCCAUCUGAGUUUCCAAAAUACAUAAUUUUAGGAAACGAAAGAGAACACUUUAAAAAAAAAUCCUCCUGAUGCUUAUUGUUUCUUCUAGUUGAUUAUUUCAGUUAUAAACCACAUACAUUCCAAAUUUCUUUCUGCUUGCUACAGCCACACUCUUUUGCCCAACAUUUUAAAUCUUUGAUAAAAUAUAAAUGAGCAACAGCUUCCUGCAAACCACAAAUUCUCCUUCUUGUUUUGCUUUGUCUAAAUGUUCUUUUUGAAUGCCCAAAGGACUUUCUCUUCCUGCUUGGCACAGUCCUAAAUUAGUUUCAAUCACAUUAUUCUUACAUUCAGUGUAUGUACCUGCAUUAUGAUUCCGAGGGUAAUCGUGCCCUUUAACCGUAGUGUGCUUAUCAUCAAUGCUUCAAGAGACUACAGUCUGGCCUUGAUCUUGCUCAGUUCACCAAGGUUGUUUGGGGGUAGAUCUAUUCACUGGCACAGUAUUGGUUUCAUGCCUAUGACAACUCAGAAAUCUAUUUCUCAACCGAGCCAGUGAUUUCUAACAGUGUUUUGUUUUGUUUUAAUCAUAUUUGCAAGUUGGUGCUGAUACAAAGGUGUGCAUCCAUUUUUUUUUUUUUUUUUUUUUGAGACGGAGUCUCGCUCUGUUGCCCAGGCUGGAGUGCAGUGGUGCAAUCUCGGCUAACUUCAACCUCCGCCUCCUGAGUUCAAGUGAUUCUCCUGCCUCAGCCUCCUGAGUAGCUGGGAUUACAGGUGCGCACCACCAUGCCCAGCUGAUUUUUGUAUUUUUAGUAGAGACAGGAUUUCACCAUGUUGCUCAGGCUGGUCUCAAACUCCUGACCCCAUGAUCCACCCACGUCGGCCUCCCAAGCAUUCAUUUUUUUUUUAGACAGGGUCUUGCUCUUUCACCCAGGCUGGAGUGCAGUGGCGCAAUCAUGGCUCGCUCCAGGCUUUACUUCCCAGGCUCAAGUAAUCCUCCCAUCUUAGCCUCCCGAGUAACUGGGGCUAUAGGCACACGCCACCAUGCUGGCUAAUUUUCAUAUUUUUUGUAGAGAUGGGGUUAAACUCCUGGGCUCAAUGGAUUUGCCCACCUUGGCCUCCCAAAGUGCUGGAAUUAUAGGCAUGAGCCACUGUGCCUAGCCAUUUUUUGUUAAACUAUUCCGUUUAAAGCAAGCAAUUCUUUCUACCAGCUCGUCUAUUGUGACCUAAAAAUUCAACCCAUGAGCAUCAACUAAAAAUAUUUUUCUGCCUUUAUUUUUAAGGUUGUAUGUCUUAUUUUCAAUGUCUCAUUAAAAUAUUACAGUGUUUUGUUGAAAUAAAUGAGUAAAUUUUCACCAUGCUUAUGGCUUGUUCCUGCUUUCAUCUUCUAGCUAGGAGAAGAUACCCUAGUGCUAG
rnacentral:lncRNA from 10 species